rnacentral:rRNA from 1 species
UACGCAGGGUGCGAGCGUUAAUCGGAAUUACUGGGCGUAAAGCGUGCGCAGGCGGUUCUCCAAGUCCGUUGUGAAAGCCCCGGGCUCAACCUGGGAAUGGCAGUGGAAACUAGGGGACUUGAAUCUGGCAGAGGGGGGUGGAAUUCCACGUGUAGCAGUGAAAUGCGUAGAGAUGUGGAGGAACACCGAUGGCGAAGGCAGGUCUCUGGGCCACUACUGACGCUGAGAAGCGAAAGCGUGGGGAGCGAACAGG